GGGAGGUGGAGGUUGCAGUGAGCUGAGAUUUCACCAUUCCACUCCAGCUGGGGCAACAAGAGCAAAACUCUGUCAAAAAAAGAGAGAGAGAGAGAUGUGGAGGGAGAUACUAAGCUGCGCAGGCUCUCAUCUUGAAGUCAACAAAUACCUUUUCUUAGUGCCUGAAGUGUCUGCAAGUGGAAAUCCAGAAGAAGACAGAGAGAAACUGAGUUCUUGACAAUGUAUUUACUAAAGAAAGUGACUUUUGAAGAUGUAGCUACUGACUUCACCCAGGAAGAGUGGGCCAUGAUGGACACAUCCAAGAGAAAGCUGUACAGAGAUGUAAUGCUGGAAAACGUCAGUCACCUGGU